UCUGAGACUUGGGAUCCAUUGGGGAAUCUGAACAGUAGAUGGAUCCUUACGGAUCCCUUAUGAUUACAGUAUAUUUCCAAUAAGAUGUGAUGCAUAUAUGCAUUUCAUGUAAAAAAUCCAAUUGGAAACUUUUAUACAGGAAAAUGACUGCUAGGUCCCCAAUGGAAUUGCUAACGUUAACGGGAUCUGAUUGGAACAUACUUGCAUUACAAAACUCAAUAUCCCAUCUGAAUUAAUCAUAUUGGAUUUAGACGAAAAGGCAUGAAAUAUAUCAAGCAUCCCCGAUAAAUACUGAGCGGCAUAUUUGGAAUUCACUCCUCGUCAUGCUUUUUUAGUUUCUCUUUGGUCAGCCUAAAUUACUCGCUCUGGUAAAUUUUCUAUUCUUUGAAAUAUACCUGCGGUGACAUGACCCACGCCGUCGUAUGUUGGGAGGACGAAGACUAUUUUGAAUUCGGAACAACGUUCGAAGAUGUAUCGACCCUAUCCGAUUUAAAGCAUUAAAGGAUUACACAACGCAAAUUUUCGGCCUGAAGCCAAAUACUGUUGAGUGGUUAACUUUUGAAAAGAAGCUUCACAAUAUUCCUGGGGAUGCCAGAAAGAAGAUGAAUCGUCUCACAGGUCUGGCUGGAAAUUCUACGAUCAUGUCGCCGGAAUUCAGUUGUUCGAAUUCCGAUGAUUCAGAAACGAGAGUUGAGGAGUAUCUCAACUUGGUAGGGGAGAAUUAAGAAUAGUAUAAAAUUUAUUAAUUGGAUUCUUGUAUAAAUAAAUACAUUGAAUUUUUAAUAGUCG